AACGCACAUUGCGCCCGCCAGUAUUCUGGCGGGCAUGCCUGUUCGAGCGUCAUUUCAACCCUCAGGCCCCCAGUGCCUGGCGUUGGGGAUCGGCGCGGCGCCCCUCCGGGGGCGCUGCCGGCCCCGAAAUUCAGUGGCGGUCUCGCUGUAGCCCUCCUCCGCGUAGUAGCACAACCUCGCGGCCUGGAGCUCGGCGGUGGCCAUGCCGUAAAACACCCCACUUCUGAAAGUUGACCUCGGAUCAGGUAGGAAUACCCGCUGAACUUAA
rnacentral:misc_RNA from 1 species